AGCGAACGCUGGCGGCAGGCUUAACACAUGCAAGUCGAGCGGGCAUCUUCGGAUGUCAGCGGCAGACGGGUGAGUAACACGUGGGAACGUACCCUUCGGUUCGGAACAACUCUGGGAAACUGGAGCUAAUACCGGAUACGCCCUUAUGGGGAAAGGUUUACUGCCGAAGGAUCGGCCCGCGUCUGAUUAGCUAGUGGGUGGGGUAACGGCCUACCAAGGCGACGAUCAGUAGCUGGUCUGAGAGGAUGAUCAGCCACACUGGGACUGAGACACGGCCCAGACUCCUACGGGAGGCAGCAGUGGGGAAUAUUGGACAAUGGGCGCAAGCCUGAUCCAGCCAUGCCGCGUGAGUGAUGAAGGCCUUAGGGUUGUAAAGCUCUUUUGUCCGGGACGAUAAUGACGGUACCGGAAGAAUAAGCCCCGGCUAACUUCGUG
rnacentral:rRNA from 1 species